UAUAUCAUUUUGAACUACCUUAAUGAAUAUGCAAGCUUUGGGUCUUGUUUUGCGGUAAGAGGGGCUUCUUUUGGUUUAGGGCAAGAGGAGAAGAAAUAGAAACUAACUCUUCCAGACGAUGACAUAGCGUGCCCAAGAUCGCACACUGUUUCAGUGACAGAGCCAGAUUAAGACUUAAUCUGUGUGACUGCAAAGCUAAUAUUUGGUCCAGUGCAUCAGACUGGAGAGGCUGGGUUAGAGGUCACAGAAAACCAAAGUGAGAGUAGGAGGUAAAUGAGAGCCGAAGCAGGAAGAAGGCAGGAACCUAUUUUGCCUCUUCCCAGAGAAAGGAGCCCAGUCCAGGAGUGCAAGUGAUGUGUGCUCAUCUGCAAACAGGCUCCCGGCCUCACCCCAAGCUGAGGAGCUGUGUGCCUUGGGCUGCCUUGCACAGGGGCUCUCCCAACGUCACUAUGGCUCAUACAAAGGUCCAAGGUAAAACCCAGCAGUCCACCUGACCCCUUUGUUUUGCAUGCUCCGGGACUGGAGAAAAAUCAGUAAGUGACCCUCAAAUGUGAGGCUUCCUCAAGGCUGCAUUUGUCAAGUCAACUGAGAGGUGACUACCCAGAGGAGGCCAGAAUGAGUGUUCCAACAUCCACUGUCAUCACUUGGCAAUGGCAUUCAAAACACUUGGCCUCAUGAAUGAGUAACCCCUGAGGUCAGCCUUCAGAUAAUCGGUUUGCUUUUGGGGACUUUGAGAUUUCUGAGAUGACAGAAGAUAUUUUGUCAGAAAAUUCUUGAAACUUGGGAAGAUUUGUUCAUAAAUGGUUGGCCUGGUU